CCUACGGGGGGCAGCAGUAAGGAAUAUUGGUCAAUGGAGGCAACUCUGAACCAGCCAUGCCGCGUGCAGGAAGACGGCCCUCUGGGUUGUAAACUGCUUUUAUUCGGGAAUAAACCUAUCUACGUGUAGAUAGCUGAAUGUACCGAAGGAAUAAGGAUCGACUAACUCCGUGCCAGCAGCCGCGGUAAUACGGAGGAUCCAAGCGUUAUCCGGAUUUAUUGGGUUUAAAGGGUGCGUAGGCGGCCUGUUAAGUCAGGGGUGAAAGACGGUAGCUCAACUAUCGCAGUGCCCUUGAUACUGAUGGGCUUGAAUGGACUAGAGGUAGGCGGAAUGAGACAAGUAGCGGUGAAAUGCAUAGAUAUGUCUCAGAACACCGAUUGCGAAGGCAGCUUACUAUGGUCAUAUUGACGCUGAGGCACGAAAGCGUGGGGAUCAAACAGGAUUAGAUACCCGGGUAGUC
rnacentral:rRNA from 1 species